rnacentral:Y_RNA from 1 species
GGCUGGUCUGAGUGCAGUGGUGUUUACAACUAAUUGAUCACAACCAGUUACAGAUUCCUUUGUUCCUUCUCCACUCCCACUGCUUCACUCAACUAUCCUAAA